GGGUAUGUCGUACAAGGAAAAGCUGCUAACUUUUUUCUUUAGCGGUUAAACUCCGUUUAUUCCCC
rnacentral:tRNA from 1 species